UGCCUGGCGGAUUAGUGAUUAGACUACAGUGCUCUCACCAAUGCGGCCCGGGUUCGAUUCCCAGUCAGGGAU